CCUACGGGAGGCUGCAGUGGGGAAUAUUGCACAAUGGGGGGAACCCUGAUGCAGCAACGCCGCGUGGGUGAAGAAGUACUCCGGUAUGUAAAGCCCUGUCAGCAGGGAAGAAAAUGACGGUACCUGACCAAGAAGCCCCGGCUAACUACGUGCCAGCAGCCGCGGUAAUACGUAGGGGGCAAGCGUUAUCCGGAUUUACUGGGUGUAAAGGGAGCGUAGACGGCAAGGCAAGUCUGGAGUGAAAGCCCGUGGCCCAACCACGGGACUGCUUUGGAAACUGUGUUGCUGGAGUGCAGGAGGGGUAAGCGGAAUUCCUAGUGUAGCGGUGAAAUGCGUAGAUAUUAGGAGGAACACUCGUGGCGAAGGCGGGUUCCUGGACAUUAACUGACGCUGAGGCACGAAGGCCAGGGGAGCGAAAGGGAUUAGAUACCCGUGUAGUC
rnacentral:rRNA from 1 species